rnacentral:rRNA from 1 species
AGUGAACGCUGGCGGCAGGCCUGACACAUGCAAGUCGAGCGGCAGCGGGUCCUUCGGGAUGCCGGCGAGCGGCGGACGGGUGAGGAAUGCGUCGGAAUCUGCCUUUUUGUGGGGGAUAACGUAGGGAAACUUACGCUAAUACCGCAUACGACCUACGGGUGAAAGUGGGGGACCGCAAGGCCUCACGCAGAAAGAUGAGCCGACGUCGGAUUAGCUAGUUGGCGGGGUAAAGGCCCACCAAGGCGACGAUCCGUAGCUGGUCUGAGAGGAUGAUCAGCCACACUGGAACUGAGACACGGUCCAGACUCCUACGGGAGGCAGCAGUGGGGAAUAUUGGACAAUGGGCGCAAGCCUGAUCCAGCCAUGCCGCGUGUGUGAAGAAGGCCUUCGGGUUGUAAAGCACUUUUGUCCGGAAAGAAAUCCUGUCGGCUAAUACCCGGCGGGGAUGACGGUACCGGAAGAAUAAGCACCGGCUAACUUCGUG